rnacentral:tRNA from 1 species
UUGCACGGGCACUAGGAUUCGAACCCAGAUCAACGGUUUUGGAGACCGGUAUCCUACCAUUGGACGAUGCCCGU